AUUAAAAACCUUGAAACUUAAAGGCACAAUCUGCAUGUCGUUAGAAACUACUUGAGCAGCCGCGAUCUCAGAUUUUCAGUUUCAAAGAAUGAGAUGAUGAAUUUAAGCUAUUGUGGUGGAAAAUUUCAGAUCAUCUCAUGCAACCCCACCACCUGUUAAAAAAUCCGUCCUUUUGCUCCGUCUUGUUCAUCUCAAAUCAUCUCGUCCAAGUUGAAUUAGUUGCUGCGAGGAUCCAAGUCUGUCGCCAAGAAGCUCUUCGAUACAGUUUUCCAAGCUUGCCUACGUGAUUUUACCCGUUGAUAGCCAAACGUCGAUGUGAAGAUUGCAGUGUUGAUGGCAGCCGCCAGGGAGAGGGAGAAAGCAGCUGGGUAAAAAACGUGGACCCCUUUUUUCUUUUUUUAAUAAUAAUUUUUUCUCUUUGCUACUUCACAAGAAAUGUGGGGUCCACAUCAUUUAAUGGUGAAAUUAAAAGGAAACUUAACAUAUGUAUGAGACUGAAAUGAAAAUUAAGUAAAUGUAUGAGAUGUAAAUGUUUAAAGAUGUAUGAAGUUGCAAUUGCAAUCAAAUGGGUGCGUGCAACAUAUAAUUUACCCUAUCAUCUAUAUCUAGGGUUUUUUUA